rnacentral:rRNA from 1 species
CGAUUCCCUUAGUAGCGGCGAGCGAAACGGGAAGAGCCCAAACCAACAAGCUUGCUUGUUGGGGUUGUAGGACACUCUAUACGGAGUUACAAAGGACGACAUUAGACGAAUCAUCUGGAAAGAUGAAUCAAAGAAGGUAAUAAUCCUGUAGUCGAAAAUGUUGUCUCUCUUGAGUGGAUCCUGAGUACGACGGAACACGUGAAAUUCCGUCGGAAUCUGGGAGGACCAUCUCCUAAGGCUAAAUACUCUCUAGUGACCGAUAGUGAACCAGUACCGUGAGGGAAAGGUGAAAAGCACCCCGGAAGGGGAGUGAAAUAGAACCUGAAACCGUGUGCUUACAAGUAGUCAGAGCCCGUUAAUGGGUGAUGGCGUGCCUUUUGUAGAAUGAACCGGCGAGUUACGAUUUGAUGCAAGGUUAAGCAGUAAAUGUGGAGCCGUAGCGAAAGCGAGUCUGAAUAGGGCGUUUAGUAUUUGGUCGUAGACCCGAAACCAGGUGAUCUACCCUUGGUCAGGUUGAAGUUCAGGUAACACUGAAUGGAGGACCGAACCGACUUACGUUGAAAAGUGAGCGGAUGAACUGAGGGUAGCGGAGAAAUUCCAAUCGAACCUGGAGAUAGCUGGUUCUCUCCGAAAUAGCUUUAGGGCUAGCCUCAAGUGAUGAUUAUUGGAGGUAGAGCACUGUUUGGACGAGGGGCCCCUCUCGGGUUACCGAAUUCAGACAAACUCCGAAUGCCAAUUAAUUUAACUUGGGAGUCAGAACAUGGGUGAUAAGGUCCGUGUUCGAAAGGGAAACAGCCCAGACCACCAGCUAAGGUCCCAAAAUAUAUGUUAAGUGGAAAAGGAUGUGGCGUUGCCCAGACAACUAGGAUGUUGGCUUAGAAGCAGCCAUCAUUUAAAGAGUGCGUAAUAGCUCACUAGUCGAGUGACACUGCGCCGAAAAUGUACCGGGGCUAAACAUAUUACCGAAGCUGUGGAUUGUCCUUUGGACAAUGGUAGGAGAGCGUUCUAAGGGCGUUGAAGCAUGAUCGUAAGGACAUGUGGAGCGCUUAGAAGUGAGAAUGCCGGUGUGAGUAGCGAAAGACGGGUGAGAAUCCCGUCCACCGAUUGACUAAGGUUUCCAGAGGAAGGCUCGUCCGCUCUGGGUUAGUCGGGUCCUAAGCUGAGGCCGACAGGCGUAGGCGAUGGAUAACAGGUUGAUAUUCCUGUACCACCUAUAAUCGUUUUA